GAUGAAGAACGUAGCGAAAUGCGAUAAGUAAUGUGAAUUGCAGAAUUCAGUGAAUCAUCGAAUCUUUGAACGCACAUUGCGCCCGCCAGUAUUCUGGCGGGCAUGCCUGUCCGAGCGUCAUUUCAACCCUCGAACCCCUCCGGGGGGUCGGCGUUGGGGAUCGGCCCCUCACCGGGCCGCCCCCGAAAUCCAGUGGCGGUCUCGCCGCAGCCUCUCCUGCGCAGUAGUUUGCACACUCGCACCGGGAGCGCGGCGCGGCCACAGCCGUAAAACACCCCAAACUCUGAAAUGUUGACCUCGGAUCAGGUAGGAAUACCCGCUGAACUUAAGCAUAUCAACAAGCGGAGGA
rnacentral:misc_RNA from 1 species